UCUAUUGUGAACCAGGUGCACGCUGGUGGAAACAAACAGGUCAAAGCUAUCACCGCAGACAGUGGUGAUGUGUUGGUGUUUUGGUGUUUGUGCAGAAAUAGGAUUAUUCCACGACUGCAAAGCGAAGGCCCAGCAGCCACGAACAUCUGGCAUGGCUUACGGAUUGAUACAUCUUUUCCGCAAAUAUGCACCCGAGGCGGGCUGCCACCAGACCUACAGGAUGAUGCAGAGAAAGAACAUUGAAGGUGUUUUCUGUAGCUGAAGGUAGGAUGUCUGCGACUGUCUGGAUGAGCUCCUCAAUCUGCUGCUCUGAUAAACGCUCUUCACUCUCUUCCACCAUCUGUACUAAAACAGAACAUUAAGGACAUAUUCACCAACAACUGUUUUUACAAAUGGUCAAACAUUAAAGAAUCCUUAACUUAACUGAUGUUAUUUACCUGUAUUGUGUUUUCUUUGCUUUGUUUAAAGCACU